rnacentral:rRNA from 1 species
AACGGGUGAGUAACACGUGAGCAACCUGCCCUAGGCUUUGGGAUAACCCUCGGAAACGGGGGCUAAUACCGAAUAUUACCGUUGACCGCAUGGUUGGUGGUGGAAAGUUUUUCGGCCUGGGAUGGGCUCGCGGCCUAUCAGCUUGUUGGUGGGGUGAUGGCCUACCAAGGCGACGACGGGUAGCCGGCCUGAGAGGGCGACCGGCCACACUGGGACUGAGACACGGCCCAGACUCCUACGGGAGGCAGCAGUGGGGAAUAUUGCACAAUGGGCGGAAGCCUGAUGCAGCGACGCCGCGUGAGGGAUGACGGCCUUCGGGUUGUAAACCUCUUUCAGCAGGGACGAAGCGUAAGUGACGGUACCUGCAGAAGAAGCGCCGGCCAACUACGUGCCAGCAGCCGCGGUAAGACGUAGGGCGCGAGCGUUGUCCGGAUUUAUUGGGCGUAAAGAGCUCGUAGGCGGCUUGUCGCGUCGACUGUGAAAACCCGCAGCUCAACUGCGGGCCUGCAGUCGAUACGGGCAGGCUAGAGUUCGGUAGGGGAGACUGGAAUUCCUGGUGUAGCGGUGAAAUGCGCAGAUAUCAGGAGGAACACCGGUGGCGAAGGCGGGUCUCUGGGCCGAUACUGACGCUGAGGAGCGAA